AAUAGCAUGACUUCUCUAGACAGAUUUCUGAGUUCUUAUGAACAUUUUGGUCUCAAGGCAGUGAAACAAAUCAGUAGAAUUUGGUAGGUUUUUUAUUUUUCCUUUUUAAUGAUUAGAUAAGAACAACUCUGUCUCCUUUCGUGUGCGAACAUUGAUGACCAAUAUCUACAUGAACGCAGAGUGCAAGUAGUCAGCGUUCAGGCUCAUUCCCCACACGAUUUGUGGGGUGAUUCACUGCUUUUGGUAGCAGACGCAAAGCAAGAAGAGAGGCCCCACUCUUUAUUUGCCUGUGAAGGGCUGGGACGUCCAGGUUCACUGGGUGUGAAAAAUCUGUUUUAGAGGAAAAAAAAAACAUCAAAACAAAGUCCUCAUAGCUGUGUACUUUUCUACCUUUGGAGCUAGGAUCCAAAGUCCAGUCUCGAUAGGACUUACUUGCCUUCCAGAGGGCAGGGGAUGGCCCCAGAGCUUUGCACAAACUGGGUCCUCUGUAGAAAUAGUAGGAGCUUGGGAUACAGAAUAACACAACCAGUUUCUUUAGGAGAGGGAGUUCCCUAGGGGCGGAGACGUGUACCUGGUCAACCUGACUGUAUCCUGGACUCCGGUGAAUCUGGGUUGACUUUGGACAGUAAUCUCUACACCAACAUGGGGCUUGAACUCACAACCCCAAGAUCAAGAGCCACAUGCUGUACUGACUGAGCCAGUCAGGCACCACUAUAAGGGACCACUAUUAAGCACCAGCUUGGGUUUUGAAUUCUGUCUUCUUGCUGGACAUCAAGUCGAGGCCUCCUUAACACAGCAAACCUUUCAAAAAUGGAACCCAAUGUUUGUUAGUUUUCUUAAUGGUGCCUCUCAUAAUUAAAAAAAAAAAGUAUAAAUUUGAGCUUUCCAUCCUUUCAGACUUGUUUAGACCCUCUACCAAUCUACCCGGUCCUGAGAGCCCUUCAGGCUUUCCAUCAGUGUCAAGCAUCCCUUUUCUGAUUCCAAGUGAUGGACUAUAUUCUCAUCACCCCAAAUUAACAGCUAUUGUUAUUUUUGUCAUAUCUGUUUCAAUUUUUUAAUGACAUAAAACAUUGGAGAUAAGGUCAAGUUUCCUUUGAAUACUAAUUCGACUUCCAUUUCUUCCUUCUGUCCUCACCUCAUAGAACCCCUGUUUAGUUUGAUAUGUGCUUUAAAAAUAUUUUCUAUAUGGGGGCUCCUGGGUGGCUCAGUCAGUUGAGCAUCCAACUUUGGCUCAGGUCAUGAUCUCACAGUUCAUGAGUUCAAGCCCCACAUC